AGCCUGAUGCAGCCAUGCCGCGUGUAUGAAGAAGGCCUUCGGGUUGUAAAGUACUUUCAGCAGUGAGGAAGGUGGAUGUGUUAAUAGCGGCUUCAUUUGACGUUAGCUGCAGAAGAAGCACCGGCUAACUCCGUGCCAGCAGCCGCGGUAAUACGGAGGGUGCGAGCGUUAAUCGGAAUUACUGGGCGUAAAGCGCAUGCAGGUGGUUUGUUAAGUCAGAUGUGAAAGCCCGGGGCUCAACCUCGGAAUUGCAUUUGAAACUGGCAGACUAGAGUACUGUAGAGGGGGGUAGAAUUUCAGGUGUAGCGGUGAAAUGCGUAGAGAUCUGAAGGAAUACCGGUGGCGAAGGCGGCCCCCUGGACAGAUACUGACACUCAGAUGCGAAAGCGUGGGGAGCAAACAGGAUUAGAUACCCUGGUAGUCCACGCCGUAAACGAUGUCUACUUGGAGGUUGUGGCCUUGAGCCGUGGCUUUCGGAGCUAACGCGUUAAGUAGACCGCCUGG
rnacentral:rRNA from 1 species